GCAUUUGGGCUUAAGCCGGUUCAGCUCAGAGGUGGGUUUCGGAAGUCUGUGGCGGACCACCGCAGCAAGUCAUCACUCAGCGUACAAGCCUUUCCAUUUCUGAAAAUAUAAAGAACUUAAGCAUGCGGCGUUCGGAGUGUAGAUUGCUUUGAGGUAUUUCAAAGCAGCGCUGAUCAUGGGCAGAGGAGCUGAUAUGUGCAACAGAAACUACUCACUGGAACUCUUCUGGACGUCUGUCCUCUGUAAUGCAAGUGUCUGCCCUCACUCUGGCGACUGUGCUGUUGGAACGCUGGUGCUCAUCUUUCACUGUCCUCCACAAAGCAUGCCUCAGGACUGUAGGCAGAAGAACCAAAUUGUAUUAUACCUGCAGAAUUUGGAUACCGUGUACAUAGAUUCCACAGUGGAUAUAACCUUGGACAUGGAAAAGAAAAUGCUUCACAUAUAUCCAUUUUGUAAUUGCUUAUUUUCUCUUAACUCCCUUUAAUUGAGACCUCAUUAUUUUUGUUACUAUGACUCCUUCCCAAGCCUACUUUUACUCGUUCAACCUUGGUCAAAUCCUUUUACUUCUCAUUUUGUUAGACAAAUUUGUAUCACUGAGUGAAGAUUCCUUGAAAAGUACAUCAAAAAGAUUAGAAUACUACCUAGAUUAUAUUGGAUGAUCUAUUACAUGGAUGAAUAUUUGUCCAGUACUUAAAACCAAAAUUUUGAUUAUUUAAGAUUAUUUAUAUAAAUACUGUUGAUGAAAUUAUGCAUUGAUGUGACUAAUCAGAAAGAGAACUUAAAUCUAUUUUUACUUACAAACACCUCUUGAAGUAAGACAUAAGUAUGUUGAUUGCUUUAGAGAUAAAAUGGAGAUAUUAAUAGUAUUUAUAAAUGUGUACAUUUAUAAUAUCUUUUGUUAUAAUGAAGUGUGAACCCUUAGUCAUGGAGGCCAUUCACCUAAGUUCACAAUGUUUGUAAGAGUCACAAAGAUUACUGAUAUUCAAUAAUUAUUGUCUGCUGCAAGCA
rnacentral:lncRNA from 1 species